rnacentral:rRNA from 1 species
UGCUGGAGGUAUCAGAAGUGCGAAUGCUGACAUAAGUAACGAUAAAGCGGGUGAAAAGCCCGCUCGCCGGAAGACCAAGGGUUCCUGUCCAACGUUAAUCGGGGCAGGGUGAGUCGACCCCUAAGGCGAGGCCGAAAGGCGUAGUCGAUGGGAAACAGGUUAAUAUUCCUGUACUUGGUGUUACUGCGAAGGGGGGACGGAGAAGGCUAUGUUAGCCGGGCGACGGUUGUCCCGGUUUAAGCAUGUAGGCUGGUUAUCCAGGCAAAUCCGGAUAAUCAAGGCUGAGGUGUGAUGACGAGGCACUACGGUGCUGAAGUAACAAAUGCCCUGCUUCCAGGAAAAGCCUCUAAGCAUCAGGUAACAUCAAAUCGUACCCCAAACCGACACAGGUGGUCAGGUAGAGAAUACCAAGGCGCUUGAGAGAACUCGGGUGAAGGAACUAGGCAAAAUGGUGCCGUAACUUCGGGAGAAGGCACGCUGGUGUGUAGGUGAAGUCCCUGCGGAUGGAGCUGAGACCAGUCGAAGAUACCAGCUGGCUGCAACUGUUUAUUAAAAACACAGCACUGUGCAAACACGAAAGUGGACGUAUACGGUGUGACGCCUGCCCGGUGCCGGAAGGUUAAUUGAUGGGGUUAUCCGUAAGGAGAAGCUCUUGAUCGAAGCCCCGGUAAACGGCGGCCGUAACUAUAACGGUCCUAAGGUAGCGAAAUUCCUUGUCGGGUAAGUUCCGACCUGCACGAAUGGCGUAAUGAUGGCCAGGCUGUCUCCACCCGAGACUCAGUGAAAUUGAACUCGCUGUGAAGAUGCAGUGUACCCGCGGCAAGACGGAAAGACCCCGUGAACCUUUACUAUAGCUUGACACUGAACAUUGAGCCUUGAUGUGUAGGAUAGGUGGGAGGCUUUGAAGCGUGGACGCCAGUCUGCGUGGAGCCAACCUUGAAAUACCACCCUUUAAUGUUUGAUGUUCUAACGUGGGCCCCUAAUCGGGGUUGCGGACAGUGUCUGGUGGGUAGUUUGACUGGGGCGGUCUCCUCCCAAAGCGUAACGGAGGAGCACGAAGGUUAGCUAAUCCUGGUCGGACAUCAGGAGGUUAGUGCAAUGGCAUAAGCUAGCUUGACUGCGAGCGUGACGGCGCGAGCAGGUGCGAAAGCAGGUCAUAGUGAUCCGGUGGUUCUGAAUGGAAGGGCCAUCGCUCAACGGAUAAAAGGUACUCCGGGGAUAACAGGCUGAUACCGCCCAAGAGUUCAUAUCGACGGCGGUGUUUGGCACCUCGAUGUCGGCUCAUCACAUCCUGGGGCUGAAGUAGGUCCCAAGGGUAUGGCUGUUCGCCAUUUAAAGUGGUACGCGAGCUGGGUUUAGAACGUCGUGAGACAGUUCGGUCCCUAUCUGCCGUGGGCGCUGGAGAAUUGAGGGGGGCUGCUCCUAGUACGAGAGGACCGGAGUGGACGCAUCACUGGUGUUCGGGUUGUCAUGCCAAUGGCACUGCCCGGUAGCUAAAUGCGGAAGAGAUAAGUGCUGAAAGCAUCUAAGCACGAAACUUGCCCCGAGAUGAGUUCUCCCUGAGACUUUAAGUCUCCUGAAGGAACGUUGAAGACGACGACGUUGAUAGGCCGGGUGUGUAAGCGCAGCGAUGCGUUGAGCUAACCGGUACUAAUGAACCGUGAGGCUUAACCUU